rnacentral:rRNA from 1 species
UACGUAGGUGGCAAGCGUUGUUCGGAAUUAUUGGGCGUAAAGGGCGCGUAGGCGGUUUGUUAAGUCAGCUGUGAAAGCCCGGGGCUCAACCCCGGAGGGUCAGUUGAUACUGAUCGACUCGAAGGCAGGAGAGGGUAGUGGAAUUCCCGGUGUAGUGGUGAAAUGCGUAGAUAUCGGGAGGAACACCAGUGGCGAAGGCGACUACCUGGCCUAAUACUGACACUGAGGCACGAAAGCGUGGGGAGCAAACAGG